rnacentral:lncRNA from 1 species
AACGGAUUGUUGACAAAGUUAUGAUCUCGGUUGAAUCAAAAUUGAUUGAAGUCUUCAAACAAAACAUUAAUCAAGCAAUUGUUGUUAUUAAUUAGUAGUUGUAGUAACGGAGCAUAUAUGGGUUGGAUGAUUCAUCCCACCCGUAUCCAUAAUAAAAAUGGAAAUUCAGAUUUAUCUCGGCCAUGACAAUCAGUUUCUUAUAUAAACUAAUAAAAGCAUUUAACUUCUUUUCACGUUCGAAAUUUCCAACAAGGAAAAACUAUGAGACCCAAUAAAAACAUGAAAAUGAUGAAGCCUUUGAUUUUC